GGGACAUGCAUGUUGAUAGAGCGAAAAGCCAGAGCCCCUUCGUUAAAGAAAUGCCUUUUCUCCGCGACAUACCGGGGCGAGAGAGAAAACGAGAGAUUCCCGUUCGUUAAGGGAUAAAGGGCCCGGCUAUAGGUUAGCCCUGACAUCCAUCCGUCUCCAAUUCACCGUCGUCAAGACAGACUUUCUUGCACAAGGCUCCGUAAGUUUUCACUCCAUGGAUAGAUCAAACGUCUUGCAUGUAGACCCUGGGUAUGUCUUAAGGAUAGAAGCGGCCAGCGACGUAAUUGUUCACGAUUUUGGAAAAGACUGUCCAGCUUAUU